UAAAAGGAGUCUUGACCAGGACCCUGUUGUGCGCACUCAGGAGAUAAGAGCGAAAGUCAAGGAACUGAACAGCAUUUGUGAGCCUGUUGUAACUCAACCCAAACCAAAAAUUGAAUCACCUAAACUGGAGAGAACUCCCAAUGGCCCAAAUCUUGACAAGAAAGAUGAUUUAGAAGGCAAAGAUAAUUUUGGUGCUGAAGGCCCGUGUCAGAAUGGUGAAUACCACCCUAACAAAAAGGGCUGUCAACAUGGACCUGGACUAGGCUCUGCGCCAGCUUCCCCUCAAAGUCAUGAAAUGUUUGCCAUAGUAUGUGACUCUGUACAACAGACUUGAGUAUUUAUAUUUUCUUUCUUUUUUUUAAGACUGUCUAGAAAUUUUGUGUAUUAUAUGGGGGAAAAGAAAAGCUUGAGUCUGUAGUCUUUGACCCUAAGGGAGAAUGACCUUGGUGACAGAGUCCUGUGGCACACUGAACGCAGAGCAGGCUGUAACCAUCACCACAGUGCACUGUCCUGUGGAGGAGCGACAGACACGGGAGAUGUAUGGAUCAUGUGAUCAUUGUGACCACCUCAUGAGCUUUAGAAUAAAUUUCACCCUGUGGUGUCAUUUCUAAA